UUUAGAUGUAAAGUAUUUAAACUUGAGUAGUAUCACCUUAAGAUCUUGAAACUUAAAGAAUUUGGCGGUAUUUUAGCCCAUUUAGAGGAAUCUGUCCCGUAAUCGAUAGCCCGCGUUGAACCUUACUUAAUUUUAUUUAGCAUGUAUACCGCCGUUGUUGAAGAUCUUUUUAGAGAUGUAAUUUUUAUAAUUUUAUUGAGAAAAUGUUUCAGGUCAAGGUGCAGCAGAUAUUUAAGAGGUGAUGGAUUACAAUAUUUUUUAAUAUAUGGAUUAUUAAUUGGUAAAUUAGUAUAAAGGUGGAUUUAAUAGUAAUAUUUAUUUAGAAUAUGAGUAUGAUUAAAGGCCCUAUAAUAUGU
rnacentral:rRNA from 1 species